GGGUCGUUUUCCCCACGCGGCGCUGUAAACGCCGUCCCGUUUACCAACAAGUGGGGUGGUAUCGGUGAGAGGUUCGAUUCCUCAACGACCCACCA
rnacentral:tRNA from 1 species